ensembl:lncRNA
GUUGAUUAGUAGAUUGAUUAUAAAUUCUGUUUGAGUGACAUUCGUUGUGAAUGAUGCGGAAGGAUAGCAAUGCCUCCAGAAAGCAGGCAUCUUGAUUGGCUGUCCACAGGAGUGAGAGCCAAUCAGAAAUCAGAAUGAUCCUGUGUGGUUGAAUUGUGGGGCACUGAUUGGCUCUUGGGGGCUAGAAUUGAAUCCAACCCCCUUCUGACAUCACUGCCCCACCCUAGUUAUUGACGCCCAUUCUGAAAUGCCGGAGAGAGAGUGUUCCGGAACAUGUGCAUGCUGACCAGACCUCGAAAAGAUGGAGGUCUAGAGACCAGCUAGUGGAGUCAACCAAAGGUAGAAUUUUGGCUAACUGUAUGUUUGGCAUCGAAAGAACAACAAGUCCCAUUGAAGACAUUUUGUUGUUUAAUCAUUUAUGUUGGAGGUCUAAAACGCUCACCAGCUGUCACCAAAAAGAUCUGUUCAAAGCACUGUCAAUGGGGAGAAGAAGAAUAUAAGGCCUACUUUUAGCUUUUAAAAUGGAAGUACCUUUCAAGCCUACUUCCUGAAGAGAACGUUGUAGAAAGGUCUGAAAAAAAAACAUAUCUCACAGCAACCAAAGAGUAUCUUUCCAGGCCACUUUCCAUCUCACACCCCUGAGAGGUUCAAUCUAGCUCCACCACCCAUGCUAACGUGACACUGCUUCAUGUCUAGCAACCCUUAUUUAGCAUUAGCAUCUCAAACCAUUUAACCAUUGAGUGUAAACAGAUUCCUGAUUUAUCAUCUGUGGUGGACCUUUUUGGAGGGGUUGUAAAUCUCCCUUUCUCUUGUGAAGUUAGCCACUUUAGCGUAGUCUAGCCUAGCGGUAUGGGCGUUUUAUUAGUUGGUUUCUGACUGAGCUUCUUACCUCAGAAGAAAGUGCAGGCCUGCACUUUAAAUCCUAAUUUACGUAAACUUUCACAUCCCAUCGUUUACCUUAACUGUCAGAUACCUCUAAAUGUUUUAUAUACUUUCUUAUUCCUCACAGUUACUCAUGUGCAACUCAAUUGUAAUACAGCCUACCUUAACCAGUUACUGGCCACAGUACCUCAACUCUCAGACCUCAUCAUUUUACAAAUCUACCUCAACACACCUUUUACCUAACUUUAAAUGCUUCAUGUUACAUACUGUGUGUGUGUGUGUGUGUAUAUAUCAGUUGAAGUCGAAAGUUUACAUACACCUGAGCCAAAAACAUUUAAACUCAGUUUUUCACAAUUCCUGACAUUUAAUCCUAGUAAAAAAUUCCCUGUCAACAUGAUGCUGCCAUCCCCAUGCUUCACGGUUGGGAUGGUGUUCUUAGGCUUGCAAGCCACCCCCUUUUUCCUCCAAACAUAACGGUGGUCAUUAUGGACAAACAGUUGUAUUUUUGUUUCAUCAGAACAGAGGACAUUUCUCCAAAAAGUACGAUCUUUGCCCCAUGUGCAGUUGCAAACCGUAGUCUGGCUUUUUUAUGGCUGUUUUGGACCAGUGGCUUCUUCCUUGCUGAGCAGCCUUUCAGGUUAUGUCGAUAUAGGACUCGUUUUACUGUGGAUAUAGAUACUUUUGUACCUGUUUCCUCCAGCAUCUUCACAAGGUCUUUUGCUGUUCUUCUGGGAUUGAUUUGCACUUUUCACACCAAAGUAUGUUGAUCUCUAGGAGACAGAACACGUCUCCUUCCUGAGUGGUAUGACGGCUGCGUGGUCCCAUGGUGUUUAUGCCUGAGUACUAUUGUUUGUACAGAUGAACGUGGUACCUUCAGGCGUUUAUAAAUUUCUCCCAAUUUCUCUACAAUUUUUUUUCUGAGGUCUUGGCUGAUUUCUUUUGAUUUUCCCAUGAUGUCAAGCACAGAGGCACUGAGUUUUAAGGUAGGCCUUGAAAUACAUCCACAGGUACGCCUCCAAUUGACUCAAAUGAUGUCCAUUAGCCUAUCAGAAGAUUCUAAAGCCAUGACAUCAUUUUCUAGAAUUUUCCAAGCUGUUAAAAGGCACAGUCAACUUAGUGUAUGUAAACUUCUGACCCACUGGAAUUGUGACACAGUGAAAUAAUUUGUCUGUAAACAAUUGUUGGAAAAAUGACUCUUGUGUCAUGCACAAAGUAGAUCUCCUAACUGAACUUGCCAAAACUAUAGUUCAAUAACAAGAAAUGUGUGGAGUGGUUGAAAAAUGAGUUUUAAUGACUCCAACCUAAGUGUAUGUAAACUUCAACUGUGUGUAUGUAUAUAUAUAUAUAUACCUCUUCAAAUAUUUUGACUAGUAACUUCUAAACAUCAGGUCUCUUGUACUGUAUACUUCAAUUUCCAGACCUUUAAGUUUGUACUGUACCACUUGUACGGUUCCUUUUAAGUUAGUCUUUAUUUGUAUUUUUUUAAAACAUACCUCGUUACUUUUACCUCACUCUUUAAAUCAUGUAACAUUUACCUGUCACCUGUUGGACCAAAGAUCUUAAUCCUCCUUUUCAUGUAAAAUUACAAGUUACAAAUGGCCAUCUCUACACAUUGUGUCCGUGAGUGGUCUGUUUAGCAUUGUGGUGCAUUAUGCCUUUUUAAUCAUAUGGAGAAACCAAAUAGCGAAGAUCAGAGCGUUGUGCCAAAAAAAUAUAUUUGUGGGAGUUUGGUGUCAAAAUGGAGUUGGCGUCGGGAUGACACUGUCAUAGACGGCGAAUGUCAUUGGACCAUUAUAUCAUAGAUAUUAGUGUUUAGCGAAUCAAAGCAGCCAAGGACAGAUCCCUGUGCUUUGAUUGGAUGCACUUAUGUGGGCUGCCCCCCCCCCCCUUUUUUUUGUGCCACCACAGUAGCGCUGUAACCUGAUUUGCCAACAGUGAGAAAGAUGGCGACGUCACCGUUAGCUAAUUUGAGGCCUUCAUCAUACCCCCUUUAGACCGACAAGAAUUACCUCUAAUAUCAGCACAGGUUCUCCUCAGUCAGAACAUCUUAGAAGUGUGUACCUAAGAGUUAGCACAAUGUUGGUUGGUACUAACUUAUUUGAAAACUCACUCUUUGACAAUGCAAAAAAGUCUGGUGUGUGUGUAGGAACACAUUGCGCGACUAAGAUGUUUAUUACGAGUUAAUAAGCCUGCUUGUUGCACGGUAAUAGACCGGAGACAUUAGCACAUUACAGGCCCCAGGCCCUGCUGCUUAGAACCCACAGGCGUGUCACCGAUAUGAUCUGUCGACGUGUUUCAGUAUUACUAUAUGGAAAAAGUCUGCAAUCUUUUACAUUUGAAUAAAAAAUGACAAACUUCUAUCUUUACGGUUUUCACUCUUACAGAGGAAAAACAUGUAUUUGAAACUUUUUGUUUUUGUUUUUUUGUUGCAUGCUUACAUUUAUAAAAAAAUGAAACAACGUCUCACAGAUAUAGGUGUUGUAAACUCGACGGGUUGGUAGCUGAAUCUGGGGAUGUUUUUUUUAUCAUGAUCAUAUACCCACAGGUGUGUAUGUGUUAGGAGUGCGUUGGAUGGAUUUAACCUUUUUGACCUUUGCGAUUGUAUUUCCUGUUCCCAAGAGGCUCUGCAGAGGCCAAUCGUUGCUUGGCCAGCCAUGUCUGGAAUCUGUACUAGAGUGCAGUUAGUACAACAACUUUUAGAGCCACACAGUUUAAUGAUCCCUCCACACACACACGAUGAAGACUGUUUACACUGGAGACAUUUUGUUUUAGCCCUAGUAAUGACAACCUCAUACUCUCUAUCAAAAUAAGCUAGGUUUCUUCAUUAGAAUCGCUUGAUUUAUUUUAAACUCCCCCCCCCCCCUCUCACACAAAAAUAUCCAGGAAGUGUGGUGCUGAGCACUUGAUUGGUCUCCUGUACUCCUGUUGGGCAGGGUUUUAUUGGCCACUAUGUUUCUGUCCACCAUUUUGUUUCUGGCAUCUCAGAGAGAAGUUGGUUUAAGUGAAACUGCACCAGGUAGAAGUUGUGCAACAUGUUAAUGAUUGUAUCUUUUAAAGAAAAAAAUAAAAUACGUAACAUUUUUAAAAGGAAGAAAAAAAUUGAAACUCAGGUAGUUCUAUGUCCCUGUGUCACAGUGAAAUGUGUCCCCCAUAGUGAUGUGGGUGUCACAGUGAAAUGUGUCCCCCAUAGUGAUGUGGGUGUCACAGUGAAAUGUGUCCCCCAUAGUGAUGUGGGUGUCACAGUGAAAUGUGUCCCCCAUAGUGAUGUGGGUGUCACAGUGAAAUGUGUCCCCCAUAGUGAUGUGGGUGUCACAGUGAAAUGUGUCCCCCAUAGUGAUGUGGGUGUCACAGUGAAAUGUGUCCCCCAUAGUGAUGUGGGUGUCACAGUGAAAUGUGUCCCCCAUAGUGAUGCGGUUGUCACAGUGAAAUGUGUCCCCCAUAGUGAUGUGGGUGUCACAGUGAAAUGUGUCCCCCAUAGUGAUGUGGGUGUCACAGUGAAAUGUGUCCCCCAUAGUGAUGCGGGUGUCACAGUGAAAUGUUUCCCCAUAGUGAUGUGGGUGUCACAGUGAAAUGUGUCCCCCAUAGUGAUGCGGGUGUCACAGUGAAAUGUUUACCCCCUAGUGAUGCGGGUGUCAGUGAAAUGUGUCCACCAUAGUGAUAAUGUAGUGAACCUUUCUGUUAUGACCUCAGUACGAGUCUCAUUGGCCAUGUUCCAGGACCCUUUUUCUUUGCAGUUGGGUUGUGAAAAUCCUGAGAUUUCUGCAUGUGUGUGUGUGUGGUAAAGACGGGCUGGAACGCGACCAAUCUUUUCUGUGUGUCCGUUUUUGCAUAUUACACGUUCUCAAUCUCGAAAAUGGAAACAUUUAGCUUUUUGAAUUAUUUCCUUGAAAUGUACUGUUUGAUGUUUAAUUUUCAGGUUUUAUUUUUGUUAAAUGUUCCCGUUGUUUGAUAAACACCAAAGGACUCCAGACCACACGACUCUCGGCGACCCUUUUGGAAUGUAUUUUUUAUUUUUUUUAUUUUGUAAAAAAAUGGUUUGCUGGGAGUCAUUCUCACUCACACCCUACUCAUUGCUAGCAGGAUCACAAAACAGAACUGAUACUGUACUACCAAUCAAUCUGCGUCUAGAGAAUUACAAUGGACACCAUGUUGUUACCAUUGUUCCAUUCCAGUGAGAAUGCAAUUUAGAAUCUUACUAUCAUGGAGCCUUUGGUGACAAAAUGGCCUCUUUUAAAAAAUAAUAAUAAUCUGAGUCUGUUUAUCAACAGUCACUUUGUAGGCCUAUUUCUAAGGCUCUGUUCUGUCCUGUGUGCAGUAGGUAGUGUGUGAGAGUGUGUUUGUGUGCUGCAUCGUGUUGUUGAACCCAAAUCCACUGAAUGUAUUCUCCUCUGUCGACGAGGCACGAGGACAGCAGGGACCAGCUGAGUUUAGAAGGGCGCUGCUGGUGUGUGUUUUGUGUUGGUGUACUAUCAAAUACACACUGAAAUGAUCUGUAAGGAGUGUGUAUAUGUGUGUAUGCACGUGUUUCCCCCCCCUCUCCUCUCCUCACACACAGUGGUCGGUGUGGAAGUGCAGUUGUCAGGUCUUCAGUUUAAAUGAAGAAGAGGAGACUAAUUUACCUGCCUCCUUCUGUUACCUGCUGUCUUCUGUUGCCUGCUGUCUUCUGUUACCUGCUGUCUUCUGUUGCCUGCUGUCUUCUGUUACACGCUGUCUUCUGUUGCCUGCUGUCUUCUGUUACACGCUGUCUUCUGUUGCCUGCUGUCUUCUGUUACACGCUGUCUUCUGUUACACUGCUGUCUUCUGUUACACGCUGUCUUCUGUUACACGCUGUCUUCUGUUGUCUGCUGUUACACGCUGUCUUCUGUUGCCUGCUGUCUUCUGUUACACGCUGUCUUCUGUUAUCUGCUGUCUUCUGUUGCCUUCCCUCGUCUGUUGCCUGCUGCCUUCUGUGGACUUUACACAUUUCCUAUGCAGUUUUUUUUUGUUUACACUUAAAUAAACGUAUUUCUUUGA